rnacentral:rRNA from 1 species
AUUGAACGCUGGCGGCAUGCUUUACACAUGCAAGUCGAACGGUAACAGGCCUUCGGGUGCUGACGAGUGGCGAACGGGUGAGUAAUGCAUCGGAACGUGCCCAAUCGUGGGGGAGUAACGUAGCGAAAGUUAACGCUAAUACCGCAUAAGCCCUCGAGGGGGAAAGGUAGGGGCCGGCGAAGGCCUCACGCGAAUGGAGCGGCCGAUGUCAGAUUAGCUAGUUGGUGGGGUAAAGGCGUCACCAAGGCGACGAUCUGUAGCGGGUCUGAGAGGAUGAUCCGCCACACUGGGACUGAGACACGG